GGAUGCGAUCAUACCAGCACUAAAGCACCGGAUCCCAUCAGAACUUCGAAGUUAAGCUUGCUUGGGCGAGAGUAGUACUUGGAUGGGUGACCUCCUGGGAAGUCCUCGUGUUGCAUUCCA
rnacentral:rRNA from 1 species